CAGCCUGUGUCAGUGUACAGCCCCGCCUCUUACAAUACCGAGACAGACAGUCAGUCCAGCAGAAUGGUUGGAGGAGACAUCUGACGAAGCUAAAGCAACUGAGACUGUCUCCGUAGUCUAGUGGAUAGAGCGACUGCCCAGACAACAGAAGGUCUGUAGUCCGAUCCGCGGCCACAUCCGCGGCAUUAAGGAGCUAAGACAAGAACUGGUUGGCUUGGAAUGGCAGUGCACCGACAAUUGACGGACAACUUCUUGACGUGCAGCAUCUGCAUGGACGUCUUUGAUGACCCCUGUACACUGAUACCCCGAAGUGCAUCCUAUGUGGUGAUGAAGGAGCGGCACCUCCAGCUACUGCUUGGUGUGCUGACUGUGACAUCAGUCUUUGUGAGGGAUGCCAGAAGGCUCACAGACGUAUUCCUGCCACUCGUCACCAUGACGUAUCUGACUUGUCCACAGAGGUCAAAAUCAACCAAAGACGCAAACCAUUCUGUAAGCAACAUCCAGAUCAAAGCAUGCAGUUCUACUGCAAAGAUUGUAAGAAACUGCAAUGUCAACUGGAAGUCAAAUGGACAUCUAUGAGAUGUACCUGUGGUGUGAGUCAGAGCAGUUUCCCACCGUAUACGACCCAGAUUCAGAUAUAAAAUAUGAACUGAGAGAGAAAGUAUGUUUUAUGCAUGAUUGUGAAGAUAUCUCUAACAAUAUACACGAGGUGAGCUUGGGUAAAAUUGAUACCAUAUAUGAAGAUGUGUUUGAUUCUACAUCGACAUCAGUUCUGCACGACACAGUGGACAUACAAACAGAAGAUGAGACAAGUUUACCUCAUGUUUAUGACGUGGCAGUGUUCAAUGAAGGCGGUACAGACCAUAGUUGUAACUGAUAAUAACAAGUGCGUCAAAUCCUUCUACACACGCAAUACUCAACCCUGUCAGAGUAAGCUCUCUGUUCAGAGCCCCCCUCGGCGGAUUGCAAAACUUAAUGCCCAUCACAUGGCCGUGACCCUUCCCGAGACAAGGGAGAUAAUAGUGAUUGAGGUGAACCCUGACCUUAUUCUCCAAUCAUACAUUUCAACGAGGAAGAAGUACUUUGGUCUGACGGCCAUGAAACCGACUACCCUGACAGCAGGAUCCGGGUCGCCUCCCUGUGUGGACAUCCUUUUGUUAAGCUGUGUCCCCCUUUGUAUUGACAUGUGCAUAAAAACUAUUGUAUUUA
rnacentral:misc_RNA from 1 species